CAGGAAUCUCGGGUUGCUGCAAAGAAACAGCUUUUGCAGGAAACGGUUACACCAGCAAACAAUGCCAGAUUCGAUAAGACAGCAGAAACUGAAACUUUAGCCGAAAUAGCAGAAAAUAUGACGGUGGCAGUUGUGGAAUAUACAAACCAGAGUGUGUAUAUUGGAGAAAUGGAGGGAAACAUGAUGACCUUUGCCCGUCGGCCAGUCGGAAAACUAACAAGUUCUCUCAACGUAAAAA